AUUUAUACAUCAUUCUCCAGACAAGAAAAAUAUCCCACUUAAAACAGAAUUCUGUUAGAGUUUGUAUGUUUGAUACUAUGAAGAUUUGUCUCAUUGGCUCUCAUACCAAAUCUUCCAUAUCUAUUAUAGCUUGAUCCUUGCAUAAAACAACCAAAAUAACAUCAAUAAGAUUCAUUCUGCCAACGACUAAGGGCACCAGUAUGUAUGAUAGUGUGUGUACCAACGCUUGUGGUCCUGAAUAAUCUUGGCAAACCAACAUAUACCAAAACUACAAUUACUAACUGUAUAUAACUAAGAUAAGAUAUAAAACUAAACUAUUUAUUAAAACAAAAUCUAAAACUCAUACUAGAGCUAAAACAUUUUCAUAUAACAUAAAAAACAUACUAAAUAGUAAAACAUUUACAUAUUAAUACCUUGAUGUAACAUUUGGCUUUCUAGGGGGCUACUCAUUACAGUUUCUGAAGAAUAACAUACACAAAAUAUAUACAACUUAUGCCUGUGGUAGAUCCGAGCAGACAACACAUACAAAAAAUAUAUAUUACUUAUGCCUGUGGUAGAUCCGAGCAGACAAAAGUAAUUUCGAGAACCUGUGGUAGAUCCGAGCAGGUGAAUGCGAAUAAAAAUAGAUUCUGCGGUAGAUGCCAGCAGAUUACCUAAUGCGAAUAAAAAUAGAUCCUGCGGUAGAUGCCAGCAGGUGUACAAAUGUACUUAAUAAUUUUAAAAAUGUAUAAAUGAAUUGGGGGAAAAUAAUUUCCCUGAAAUUAUGUUGGCCAAAAUGAGCGAAAUUAAAGAGUGAAAGCCCCCAAGAAAAGAUACAUCAGAUAUGUAAAAAAAA
rnacentral:lncRNA from 1 species